rnacentral:rRNA from 1 species
CCGGAGUGGACGGACCAAUGGUGUACCAAUUAUCCCGCCAGGGGUACAGUUGGGUAGCUACGUCCGGAAAGGAUAAACGCUGAAAGCAUCUAAGCGUGAAACCAGCCUUAAGAUGAGGUCUCCCGAAGCGAAAGCUUGAAAGACACCUUGAAGAUGACGAGGUAGAUAGGCCAGGAGUAGAAGUUCAGUAAUGAAUGUAGCGGACUGGUACUAAUAAGUCGAGAACUUAACUUA